ACCCACAGGGAAAGCACCAUGAGAAGAUGAUGGCAGAGAUCAGGGCGACGUGUCUACAAGCCAAGCGACACCAAAUGUGGCCAGCAGCCCAUGUAAAGCUGGAGGAGAGGCCUCAAAUAAAUGCUGCCUCACAGCAUUCAGGGGGAACUGACCCUGUCCACACCUUGACCUUGAACUUCUGGGCUCCAGAACUGUGAGACAGCAUGUUUCUGUUGUUGAAGGAGCAGCGUGGCUAGAGGAAUUCCUGCAGCUUAGAUUUCGCUGGCACCGUUACCACUCCCAGAGAGGAGCGGCUGGAGUUCACGGCUGGUUCCUGACAAACUUCCUAAUUAAUCUGCUAAAGAUCAGAGGAGGACUAAUAGGAGCUGAAGACUGUGUGCGAGACCACCCCUCCGCCCUCUCCCUUUGUGUGUGCAUGUGUGUGUGUGUGUGUGUGUGUGUGCGCGUGCACGCGUGCGCGCAUGUGGUGCCGAACUUGGCAGGAGAGAGAUGGCCUCACCAGCGACAAAGCAUUGCUGCUGCUGUUGCUGCCACCUAUCUUCCCUGCUUUGGGAGGAUACAUUUUCUCCUCUUACUUAGAAGUUUAAGGGAGUCACCCAAGCCUUCCUCUCCCAGAUACAACAGUGGAAUAAAAUAUCUUCCAACCAACUUUUUUUUUUUGAGACGGAAUCUCACUCUGUUACCUGGUUGGAGCUCAGCAGCGCGAUCAUGGCCCACUGCAACUUCUGUCUCCCAGUUUCAAGUGAUUCUCCUGUCUCAGCCUCCCAAGUAGCUGGGAUUACAGGAGUGUGCCACCCACCAUGCCCGGGUAAUUUUUGUAUUUUUACUAGAGACAAGGUUUCACUAUGUGGUCCGGACUGGUCUCAAACUCCUGACCUCUGGUGAUCUGCCCACUUCGGCCUCUCAAAGUGCUGGGAUUACAGGCAUGAGCCCCCGCACCCGGCUGCAACCAACUUUUUUGUGGAAUACAGGAUCUUGAUGUUUGGGUGCCUGAAGGCAGAAGCUGUUGCACAUGGAAUGGAUUAAAGUUUUCCCCUCCGCAACCAAAAAUCCUUGGGGUCCCAGGAGCAAAAGAUGCUCCAGGGCACAGGACAAUUCAAGAAGGCCCGAGGUGAUAUUGAAGACUGCAGAGACAUCCAGCUCGGUUGUGUCUCUGGAGGUGUCCAGACUUUGCAGACAGACGUUGCACAUAAAGAGCUGAAAAACUGAGGAAGCUGAGCUGGAGAAGGAAAUCACUUCUACUCAGCCUUGACCUGCGUCUGAUGCUAUGGGGCCUCUUAGGGUUACCUCAUGCUUCAUGCACCCCUUUCUCUGUUCUUCAGCAGAAGGCAGGGUGUAGGGAAGCAGGUCUGUGCCUCCUUUCUCCCUGCCAGGCCUGACUCUCCAGGCAAAGAGACACCAUUAAGGAGUAUAAUUUGUUGAUCCAGGCUCUCCUUGCGUUUCAGUGCAGAGUGGCAUCGUUUUCUUUAUGACCCCGUAAAGUCACAGCCGAGAGGCCGAUUUGGAAAACAAACUGCCUCAGGUUGACGGAUAAUUAGAUACAGGGGACAUAUUAUAUGCCUUUGCAUAUAAAUGUGCUCCGAGGCGUGUUGGUUCAUCUGAAGUUGAGGUUAAAGGCGCGCCAGGUAUUCCUGACACAUCAGGAUAUAUAUUUUCAUAUGGUCUCAGGUGCUGUGUUGGUUUUAUAGGCCUUUCAUCCCGGUGCUGAUGGAUGGGGUGUGAUCACCACCCAACUUAGAAGAAACGGACUUCCCUUGCCCAGGGGCCUCCUGGCGUUUUUGUUUUGUGUUCUCCCUCUCCACCUCCACUUUCUCUCCUUCGUUGGGAAGGGAACUGUUCUUUGGGCCUAGGAUUCUGCUGUGAGUGACUAAUGGCCCCAGUAGGAGGGACCGGGACUAAUUUUUCUUUUCUGGACUCUAAUAGGCCCAAUUAAUUCAGCUGCAACAUGGGCCCUUACAAGCCUGGGACAAGCCUGGAUGGAAUUCUAUAUUGAGGAGUUAAUCCUAAUAAAAAAUGAUUAAAGAAGAGGACGCCUCCACCCACAGGAAGGAGCCAGCCCGGUGGGGAGCUGUUUGACCAGGGGAGUAUUCUCAGCAGCUGCCACACGUGGAGGUGUGGAGCAGGAUCUUGGCAGCGGACUGCCAUGGGAGCUCUGGGGAAAAAGGACCAGCUGGACUCCAGUACCUCCUGAGAGACCACCACCCUCCCUGCCUCCAGCUCAUGCCCAGCUCUGAGUCAAACGGACUCUUCCUGUUGUACUGCGAGGUUGUGCAAACCUUAAAGGGCAAACACAGUGAGUGUGGACAGCCCACUCUCUGACAGCCCAGAUCAUCUGAAGCUAUCCCUGGGCUGGGAGCUGGAAGCCAUUCUUGUGAACCACUCCUUAUACCUUGAGCUAAGCCUCUUUGGGUCCCAGAAGUCUGAAGCUCCAGCUGCCUGGCACGACUGAAUCUAGAUGAUUUCUUGAGUACCAGUAGUUUGGCAUUUAAAAAUACUGGAUUAACUGCAGUGUAAACUUAGAUUGCAUUUCAGAUUGUAAACAAUGACCCCAGUGCUUCAUGUGAUGUUAAAUCAGAAAUGAGCUAUUAGCCAAGCUAGUCCUCUUAUGAAUGAGCCCCUAACCCUGAACCAGGGAUCGUUGAAUGAAAAUCAUCAAAAUGAUUUAUCUUCACUUUACCUAUUAUCUCACAAGAAUCUCAUUACUCAGGGAAAAUGAGGGUGUACUUCAGGGAACGGAGGGCCUGGGGAAGGGGGACUUCCUUAUAACUCAACUUUCAGAGGGAGCUGAGUUGUAAACAGAUGGAACAAGGUAUGUACGAGAAGCCUCUUAGAUUUAGUCUUUCAUAUCAAGGCUCUUGCUGAAAAUCCUGGCACAGCUGUGAAAUGAGGGGAGCUCUGACACACAGAGACACCCUCCUUGCCUCACCAACCUUCCCCUACAGAGUCAUGCGCACAGAGAGCAGGUACCAAUACUGAAAAUGCCUUUCUGGAGUUUCCUCAGCUUAAACCCUUGACAGCUUAGCAACAGCAUUAAGUGAGGAAGGAGUUUCCUUGACCUGGGGAAGAAGAACCAACUCAUAAACAUGGAACUGUGCCCACUGCCUCUUCCUUUGCUCUGUGGAUUGGCUGUGGUUCUGCCCUGGCACUCAGAUGUCAAGGUGCUCUGGCUGUUUGGGAGGAAGCCCAGCCUGGGUCAGGUGGUCAUAAGCCAGAGCCCCUGUCCUGUCCCCAGGGUUGGCCUCCCUCUGGGGUCCAGCAUGGCCCCAGUACUGAGGCUCCCAGUGCUGGAGAAUGUGCCCUCUCCUCUUUUUGUUUCCAUACCAAGGGGAUCUGCAGGGUAAGGGCAAAUUAUUCUUAGCAGAUUGGGGCUAUGGGUAAACCGGAAGGGAUGAGGGAGAGAGGAGAGAGGAGAGGAAAGGGAAGGAGAGGGGAGGGCAGGGGUUAGGUAGAGGAGAGAGACAGCAAGAAAAAAUAGAAAAAAAAAGGAUAUAAAGGUUGCAAAUACAAAGGGAGAUUAACAAGGAGUAGAAGAAGGGAGGCAGAAGAGGGAGAAACAGAGAAGAGGAACAAAGAAGACAUUUCCAAAAAAGACGUGAGCACACCAGGCAGGAGGGAGAAAAGGAACAAGGAGAAAGGAAGGAAGUGAGACAAGCUGGGGAGAGAAGAGGCAAAGGCAGCCAGGAGCAGGUGGAGGUGAGAGAGGAGUGGGAAACCCCAGAGGGUACAAGGGAAAAAAUGAGGGAAGCCAGUGGGAGGAAGGUGAGGAAGAGGAGAGGGAACAGGCACUGGAUGGGGAAGAGGUGAGCGGGAGAAAGCCUGUGCUGUGUGGAUUAUUGUGUGUUUGUCAUCUGGAAUGGUAUAAGCUGUAGGUACAGCAACUCCUGCGCAUGAUUUAUGGUCCCUGUCAGGCAGGGACCGCGCUUUGUCUGCUGUAGCGUGGACGAUGAAUGCUCCGCUGUCAUCCUAGCCUGGCCAGCGUUUCUCUCUCUCUGCUCCCAACGCUGGCUCCCCAUUUCACGCCAGUGAACAUAAACAAUCUUUUGUAAACCUGACAGUCACACUUGCUUCUUUGGAAACAUAAAGCA